CGCAUGGUAACUACUGUCGGUAAAGACAGACAAUUCCAAUGGUGAGCAUGUACUCAGCCGUUAAGGGCUUAAAACAUUCCUUUUUUUUUUUUUCUUUUUUUUUUUUCUCAUCAUGUCUACACUGGAUUUUCUCACUCAGCUAUUGUAUACGUACUGCUUCAUCCUUAUGUCUGUAUACCUCCAUACUAGAACUGCUUAACUGCCUUCAGCUGAAAGACAUUCUGGAUUAUAUCCAAGGACCAUCUUGAAGUUCACUGGUGUCCAGAACUGCCCCCAUUUUUGGAGAACCACUGGAGUCUAUCAGAAUUGCAAUGGAUAUGAAUUUCGUAAGUGGCUGAACUCUAAAUGCACAUGCUGUCACAAACAGGCAAAAAGAGCUAAGAAUAAAAGAGCUGCAUGAACCUUCAUCCUUUUCAUCAACAAACUUUUAUCUUUGCAAACAACUUGAAUGGUCUUGUGGCAAAAUGGAGCCUUGGGAAGCUUGUAAAUGAAAAAGAAAAUCCUGUUGGGUUAUAAGGUUGGUUAUUCCCUGUCAAGCCUGAGUGAAUUCCAUGGAGAAUGAAAAUCAAACUUGCAAGUAAAAGUGAUGGACUGAAUGAUUUGGGGGCCCCCUGCAACCUGCAUUGCUUACAAACAUUAUUAUGCAUAUUUGAACUUUACAGUUGUUGUCUAGUUGAAAUAUGUAUUAGCUAUUUUGUGUACAGCUAAUGUCAGAAGAAUUGUCAAGCCUAUAAUGAAAAAAUAUGAGUAAUUCCUUGAAAUAGAAUCAACUUCUACAUAGAACACAUCUCAGAAUAGAGCCCUAACAUUUUUCCUAUGAAAAUUCACUGCUAGCGUGUUAGCUUUCUACAGUUAAGUUCCAAAGUUGAAUAUGAGGAAAUAUGUUUAGCUUUUUAAAUCUUCUGAUUUCUGUAAAUUAUUAGUCCAUAGAAUUACUUUUGUUUUGUGUACCCAUUUCAAGGAAAAUUAAAUUGCUAGUUCAAUACUUGAAAUCUAACAAUAUCUGGAAAAAAUAUUUUUGUAGUCUACUCUCAGAAUGCAUGGAACAGCAUAUCUGCAACAAUUUUUAAGAUAGCAGAAAUGGAAGUUUCCAAAUAAGAAGGUUAUUUUAUAGUUAUGAAUGCAAAAAUACAUACAUCGUAUUAAUUGCUUAGUCCUUUGCUUUGAUACAAAUUACUUGAAAAUUGUGGUUUAGAACAUUUUUUAGCAAUUUUUAAACAAACGAGGUGGGAAAUUGUCCCCCUGAGGCUUCAUUAAGGCUUUUAAAAUGCUUACAACAGUAAGUCUAGAUGAAAUCAAUAUAUUUAUAUUACUUCACUCAAUGGUUUAUUGUUCUCUAUCAUUUAAACAAUGAAAUACAGUUAAUAAAUUGUUAGAUCAUUUAUAUAUUAUUUUUUUUAAAUUGAAAAUAUUUCGGCAUAUUUUAACAUGCCAUUUUUUGAAGUAACUAAACUCUAACGUAUAACAUUAAUAAACGGUGAUAGACUUUACUAUAAAUAUUGCCUCUGUUGCCAAGUAGAGUUACAUACAAAGCAGAACAUUACAAACAUCAGUUCACUCAUUCUAUUGAUAAUGAAAACAUGGGCCUUUUGUAUUACUUUUUGUGUAUGUUUCAAACCCAAUGUUCUAUUGUAAUAGAUACAAAGCAACGUUAAAAUAGUAAUGCCUUUGUUUUGAGUGUGUUUUUUAAUACCAACAGAUUGUUGGUGGUAGGGUUUUCCACUGUUUUAGAUUUGCUGACGUAAAUCUUGCAAUCUUCAGUACAGUAUUAUUUUAUAGGUAGAAAUUCUUAGUAAAUAAAAACAAACACCUUGUUAACAGGUUGAAAUGGCAUUUAAAAUGUCUCUAGUGCCUCACUCAAAAACUUUUGGUACAAAUGGAAAUUCUCUCACUGAUGUCUGCUUUCAUUCAAUUACACUUACUAAAAAAGCCAUUUCUCAGAGGGAUUGAUUCAAAAAGGUGGUGAAAGUAUAACCUCAGAUGCCCCAUUUCUGUAGCAAGGCCUAGAAACAUUUGGUGAAAUCACAGCACCAGUGAGAUUUGUAUGAACCUGAGUCCAGUAUAUGUACAUCAGACAAGUUCCACUGGAUUAAAACUCUCAGAACAGAUGAAUAAGAAAUGACAACUUUGCUGGUCUUGUUAAGCAUGGUGUAGGUUCCAGUUUAUGAAACAGAGAUGCAGGUAGAAAGGAAAUGUAUGGUCAGAACUGAAGCACCUCUGAAAUCCAAAUUCCUUUACUACAUGGCAUUUCAACAGGAAUUAAAUAUUCAAAUUCUCCUAAUGUGUGUCACUAAAGGGAAUUCAUCAUGAAAGGAAAAGUAUACAUCUGUGAAUUUAAAAUAAAUGGGUGUAACAAAAUGGUAACCAUAAGACAGCAACCAGGCUUUCUUCACUUGUUCUCACUGCAUUUCAUUCAUAGUGACUGUUGGCAGCACUCAGUGUGUGGGGUUUAUAUAUGUAUUUAUAGAUAUGUACAUAUUGCUUAUAUAGGAACCAUAGACACUUGAAAAUAAUUUUUUUCUCAAAUCAUUCUACAAAGGCCAACUUGUCCCCUUUAAAGCUGCAGCUCAUAAACUAGAGACAUCAGAACUGGAUAUGUCUCCAGAUUUGUCUAAAAGUGCUUUAUAAUAGAGAGAAUCUUGUCUUCUAAGGGACUUAAUUACCCCCCUUCCCCCCCCGAAAAAAAUAUCCUUCUGCUCUAGCAUUACCCAGACAAUGCUGCAAAGCCUAUAGUCGGUCAAAGUUGAAGCUCUAAGUCUAAAACAACUCAUUCUUUUAGAAGUAAAGCUCUUUGGCUCACACUAGUUUUGCAACUUGUGUUAUCAUAAUAGUAUAAGAAAUUGUAAUAAUAUAAGAAAAAGAAGAAUUGUUUUGAGCAAUUUAAGCCUUCUUAAGAACUGGAUUAUGAAUGAUUAAAAUCGGAAGAUUAAAUUGAACCUCUACAUUUCUCACACCGUAUCAUUUUAGAUACUUCUGUGUCUGUUGAACUAGACUGACAACAAAAUGACACAAAAAUCCGAUUUAAGUGUCAGUCAAUGAAAUGCAAUUAAUUUGGUGUUAAGAUGGAACAUUAGUACAUUUUGUAGAAGAGGUUAGAACAUUUUCUCUAGCAUUGUGACACUUACUACGUCUAUCUCAGUAACUACCACAGGCUUUCUAAAGAAACAUUUACAUUUUAAAACAAAAAAUCCACUGAAAAUCCACACAAAUUGAAAAAUGAAUAGGUCUUUUUAUACUAAACUGUCACCAGCCAUUUGGAUACUGAUUAAAAAAAAAAAGAAGAAGAAAAAAAACAACAACAACAACAAAAAAACACCCUUACUGCAGCUUCUGUGAACUAGGAGGUUCUAUAAAUGUUGUGUUUGAUUCUGGACACAGAAACUGGAGAUAAUCAAGAAUAAAUAAUAUUUGACAUAGAACCUGUGAAAAUAAAAUCAGAACUAAGCCACGGGGAUUUCAAGAUGACUGAGCAUGACUUUUCAUUAACAGUGUCAUAACUGCAUUUUAACAGAAGAAAAUAAUAAGUUAAAUAUAACUAUAUAACUAUAGUAAGCAUUUAGAGGAAUACAUUUAGAGGAAUAACCAAGGUGGUAAGGUGGCAGUGGGUGACAAAAAAGCUGUUUUUUUAUUCCUUUUCUGUCACAGACUUCAACUACAAAUUCUAGCCCAUGAUAUGUUAGAUAUUGCAUAAGAAAAAUGUUGGGCAGAUGAACUGACUGGUACCUACCAGCAUACAGAAAAUUCUAACUAGAAUACAGGUGUUUGUGCUUAAACUUGCCAGU